GCUUGCUUCAGCAGCAUAUAUAUACUGGAACAAUACAGAGAAAGCUAGCAUGGUCUCUGAGCAAGCAUGGCAUGCAAAUUUAUGACGUUCCAUAUUUUU
rnacentral:snRNA from 1 species